CCCUUAGAUGUUCUGGGCUGCACGCGCGCUACACUGAUGCAUUCAACGAGUCUAAAACCUGGUCUGAUAGGGCUGGGUAAUCUUUUGAAUGUGCAUCGUGAUUGGGAUAGAUGAUUGCAAUUCUUCAUCUUCAACGAGGAAUGCCUAGUAAACGCAAGUCAUCAGCUUGCAUUGAUUACGUCCCUGCCCUUUGUACACACCGCCCGUCGCUCCUACCGAUUGAAUGUUCCGAUGAAUACCAUGGACUGAGAGUAUGAAUGGGUUCGCCUAUUUCUGCUUCUCGGGAAGUGGAGUAAAUCUUAACAUUUAGAGGAAGGAGAAGUCGUAACA
rnacentral:rRNA from 1 species